UACAGAGGGGGCAAGCGUUGUUCGGAAUUACUGGGCGUAAAGGGCGCGUAGGCGGCCUUCUAAGUCGAACGUGAAAUCCCUGGGCUCAACCCAGGAACUGCGUCCGAUACUGGAAGGCUUGAAUCCGGGAGAGGGACGCGGAAUUCCAGGUGUAGCGGUGAAAUGCGUAGAUAUCUGGAGGAACACCGGUGGCGAAGGCGGCAUCCUGGACCGGUAUUGACGCUGAGGCGCGAAAGCCAGGGGAGCAAACGGG
rnacentral:rRNA from 1 species